GACGAACGCUGGCGGCGUGCCUAAUACAUGCAAGUCGAGCGCUGAAGGCUGGUACUUGUACCAACUGGAUGAGCAGCGGACGGGUGAGUAACGCGUGGGGAAUCUGCCUUUGAGCGGGGGACAACAUUUGGAAACGAAUGCUAAUACCGCAUAAAAACUUUAAACACAAGUUUUAAGUUUGAAAGAUGCAAUUGCAUCACUCAAAGAUGAUCCCGCGUUGUAUUAGCUAGUUGGUGAGGUAAAGGCUCACCAAGGCGAUGAUACAUAGCCGACCACAGAGGGGGAUCGGCCUAGUUGGGAUGGGAGCACGGCCCAACACCCUGCGGGAGGCAGCCGUCGGGGACUUUCGGCGAUGGAAGAAAGUCUGACCGAGCGACGCCGCGUGAGUGAAGGAGGUUGUCGGGUCGUGAAACUCAGUUGGUAGAGAAGAACGUUAGUGAGAGUGGAAAGCUCAUCAAGUGACGGUAACUACACAGAAAGGGACGGCUAACUACGUG
rnacentral:rRNA from 1 species